rnacentral:rRNA from 1 species
GGGUUGUGAGGUUAAGCGACUAAGCGUACACGGUGGAUGCCCCGGCAGUCAGAGGCGAUGAAGGGCGUGCUAAUCUGCGAUAAGCGCCGGUAAGGUGAUAUGAACCGUUAUAACCGGCGAUACCCGAAUGGGGAAACCCAGUGUGAUUCGUCACACUAUCAUUAACUGAAUCCAUAGGUUAAUGAGGCGAACCGGGGAACUGAAACAUCUAAGUACCCCGAGGAAAAAGAAAUCAACCGAGAUUCCCCAGUAGCGGCGAGCGAACGGGGAGGAGCCCAGAGCCUGAAUCAGCAUGUGUGUUAGUGGAAGCGUCUGGAAAGGCGCGCGAUACAGGGUGACAGCCCCGUACACAAAAGCGCAUGUGCUGUGAGCUCGAUGAGUAGGGCGGGACACGUGGUAUCCUGUCUGAAUAUGGGGGACCAUCCUCCAAGGCUAAAUACUCCUGACUGACCGAUAGUGAACCAGUACCGUGAGGGAAAGGCGAAAAGAACCCCGGCGAGGGGAGUGAAAAAGAACCUGAAACCGUGUACGUACAAGCAGUGGGAGCACAGGUUUACCUGUGUGACUGCGUACCUUUUGUAUAAUGGGUCAGCGACUUAUAUUCUGUAGCAAGGUUAACCGUAUAGGGGAGCCGGAGGGAAACCGAGUCUUAACCGGGCGUUAAGUUGCAGGGUAUAGACCCGAAACCCGGUGAUCUAGCCAUGGGCAGGUUGAAGGUUGGGUAACACUAACUGGAGGACCGAACCGACUAAUGUUGAAAAAUUAGCGGAUGACCUGUGGCUGGGGGUGAAAGGCCAAUCAAACCGGGAGAUAGCUGGUUCUCCCCGAAAGCUAUUUAGGUAGCGCCUCGUGAAUUCAUCUCCGGGGGUAGAGCACUGUUUCGGCUAGGGGGCCAUCCCGGCUUACCAACCCGAUGCAAACUGCGAAUACCGGAGAAUGUUAUCACGGGAGACACACGGCGGGUGCUAACGUCCGUCGUGAAGAGGGAAACAACCCAGACCGCCAGCUAAGGUCCCAAAGUCAUGGUUAAGUGGGAAACGAUGUGGGAAGGCCCAGACAGCCGGGAUGUUGGCUUAGAAGCAGCCAUCAUUUAAAGAAAGCGUAAUAGCUCACUGGUCGAGUCGGCCUGCGCGGAAGAUGUAACGGGGCUAAACCAUGCACCGAAGCUGCGGCAGCGACGCUGAUGCGUUGUUGGGUAGGGGAGCGUUCUGUAAGCCUGCGAAGGUGGCCUGUGAGGGUUGCUGGAGGUAUCAGAAGUGCGAAUGCUGACAUAAGUAACGAUAAAGCGGGUGAAAAGCCCGCUCGCCGGAAGACCAAGGGUUCCUGUCCAACGUUAAUCGGGGCAGGGUGAGUCGACCCCUAAGGCGAGGCCGAAAGGCGUAGUCGAUGGGAAACGGGUUAAUAUUCCCGUACUUGGUGUUACUGCGAAGGGGGACGGAGAAGGCUAUGUUGGCCGGGCGACGGUUGUCCCGGUUUAAGCGUGAGGGUGUGUGUUCCGUAAAUCCGGUUCACUUUAACACUGAGGCGUGACGACGAGGCACUACGGUGCUGAAGCAACAAAUGCCCUGCUUCCGGGAAAAGCCUCUAAGCAUCAGGUAACAUCAAAUCGUACCCCAAACCGACACAGGUGGUCAGGUAGAGAAUACCAAGGCGCUUGAGAGAACUCGGGUGAAGGAACUAGGCAAAAUGGUGCCGUAACUUCGGGAGAAGGCACGCUGACAUGUAGGUGAAGUGAUUUACUCAUGGAGCUGAAGUCAGUCGAAGAUACCAGCUGGCUGCAACUGUUUAUUAAAAACACAGCACUGUGCAAACACGAAAGUGGACGUAUACGGUGUGACGCCUGCCCGGUGCCGGAAGGUUAAUUGAUGGGGUCAGCGCAAGCGAAGCUCCUGAUCGAAGCCCCGGUAAACGGCGGCCGUAACUAUAACGGUCCUAAGGUAGCGAAAUUCCUUGUCGGGUAAGUUCCGACCUGCACGAAUGGCGUAAUGAUGGCGGGCUGUCUCCACCCGAGACUCAGUGAAAUUGAACUCGCUGUGAAGAUGCAGUGUACCCGCGGCAAGACGGAAAGACCCCGUGAACCUUUACUAUAGCUUGACACUGAACAUUGAGCCUUGAUGUGUAGGAUAGGUGGGAGGCUUUGAAGUGUGGACGCCAGUCUGCAUGGAGCCGACCUUGAAAUACCACCCUUUAAUGUUUGAUGUUCUAACGUGGACCCGUUACCCGGGUUGCGGACAGUGUCUGGUGGGUAGUUUGACUGGGGCGGUCUCCUCCUAAAGAGUAACGGAGGAGCACGAAGGUUGGCUAAUCUGGUCGGACAUCAGGAGGUUAGUGCAAUGGCAUAAGCCAGCUUGACUGCGAGCGUGACGGCGCGAGCAGGUGCGAAAGCAGGUCAUAGUGAUCCGGUGGUUCUGAAUGGAAGGGCCAUCGCUCAACGGAUAAAAGGUACUCCGGGGAUAACAGGCUGAUACCGCCCAAGAGUUCAUAUCGACGGCGGUGUUUGGCACCUCGAUGUCGGCUCAUCACAUCCUGGGGCUGAAGUAGGUCCCAAGGGUAUGGCUGUUCGCCAUUUAAAGUGGUACGCGAGCUGGGUUUAGAACGUCGUGAGACAGUUCGGUCCCUAUCUGCCGUGGGCGCUGGAGAACUGAGGGGGCUGCUCCUAGUACGAGAGGACCGGAGUGGACGCAUCACUGGUGUUCGGGUUGUCAUGCCAAUGGCACUGCCCGGUAGCUAAAUGCGGAAGAGAUAAGUGCUGAAAGCAUCUAAGCACGAAACUUGCCCCGAGAUGAGUUCUCCCUGAGACUUAGAGUCUCCUGAAGGAACGUUGAAGACGACGACGUUGAUAGGCCGGGUGUGUAAGCGCAGCGAUGCGUUGAGCUAACCGGUACUAAUGAACCGUGAGGCUUAACCUUACAACGCCGAAG